UUGUUUCAAAUAUAAUAGAAGUCAUUUGUCACUUAGAAGGGGGAGAAAGUUAAGAGAGAAUUUUUUUUCAGUACUAGAGGAAAGAUAAACAACUGCUAUUGUUUAUUGAAGCUUCAAGCUUCUUUUCUUGAGUGUUAAAAAUUAAAAGGGACUAUUUUGGUAACUGGUUAUUUCUCUGUUGGUCUGUACAUGUUUGGUAAUACUACUGGCAUUCAAGUAGUGUUGCUUGAGUUUAGUGUUGGUUUUCGGUUGGUUUGCAAAUUCUGGUUUUUCUGCUUGGUUGUAAUCUCCUGGGUUUUGCUGAUAUUCCCGUUUUUACUGGGUUAAUCCUGUGUUGCUGAACUACUGUUGUUGUGUGUGUGCUGCUAUUUCUUCCUACUGAUCUUCAUCUUCUUUGUAUUCCAAUACCAGGUACACCACUUUGAAUCAAUUUGAUGUAUGCCUUCAAGAUGAAAUAAAAUGGUUGAAAUUUAUGUACUUAUACUACAUUUGUAUUUCAGCUAAACAUUAGUUAUAUAUAUUUUCCCGCUAUGCAUUAGUUAAUCUUUGAAUCUUGUUAGUAAUAAAGAUCCGCAAAUAUUAGGCAAAUAUAGUUGAACAUUAGUUAUAUAUAUUUUCCCGCUAUGCAUUAGUUAUUGAAUCUUGUUAGUAAUACAAAUCCGUAAAUAUUAGGCAAAUAUAAUAGGCCGGUAAUUUCGUAGAAUGAACAUGCAUGAUAUUUAAUGUGUGAUUUAACGUAGAAAGGCUAAGAAUAUUAUACAUUAGGUGCGAGUUUGAGCAAGAUGAGUUAACGUUUAAGUUUAAUAAACUUUUUUAUAAGAUAUAGUAAUUAUGGUUAAAUCUAGUUUCAAAUGGUUGUGAAUAAUUAAUUCCAAUAGUUUUUUUAUAUAACAACGCGGGAUUUUAAUCUAGCUAUAAUUGAGUUAUUUUGAAUAUUAGUUGUCAAAUUUUGUACUUUAUUUAUAAUUUCGAAUUUUUUUAUUUUAUUUAUAAUUUCGAAUUUCUUUUCUUUUCUUUUUUAGAAAAAUUCUUUUCCAUUAAUAUUUGCCUUAAUCUAGUAAUUAGUGUGUUACAUUUUUUAAAGCAUGUAAUUAAUUAGGAUUUUUCUCUUUUAAUUUAGAGACGAACUUAUUAGAAAAAAUUGUAGUCACUUCAGGAUUGCCCUUUCAAAAUAACUGAGGAGAGCCUCUCUAAAUAAAUAAAUUGCGGUGCCCUCAGUAAACGUUUAAAAAUAUUUGGAAAAAUAGGGAAGGGUCGUUUGGCGAAUUUCACGACCAUAUCAAAAGAUUACAACUCGCUAGACUCUCAUUAGGACGCGCCUUAAUUAAUCUUACCUUCCUAAACUCGGGUGUGUAUUUAUGCAACCCAAAUCCAAACUCGAUAGAGUCGAAAUGUGUCGACGACCACGGGUACGCUGGCUGUGACGUGGUCCGAGAUAUGUUUUCACAAUGUUGCAAUUCUAUGUAAAUAAUAGCAAUAAUAAUAAUGAUAAAAGCGGUUCAAAGUUAAAAUUUGCUUUUAUGAUCAUAAUUGUAAAAAUCAAAUAAUUAAGCCGAAUAUGACAGUUGAGCGACCGUGCUAGAACCAUGAAACUCGGGAAUGCCUAACACCUUCUCCCGGGUUAACAGAAUUCCUUAUUCAGAUUUCUGGUUUGCGGACUGUUAAACAGAGUUAAUUUCUUCCUCGAUUCGGGAUUCAACCGGUGACUUGGGACACCAUAAAUUUCUCAAGUGGCGACUCUGAAUCUCUAAUAAAUAAUCCUGUUUCGAUUGUCCUUUAAUUGAAAAAACUCCCUGGCCCCUUUUCGGGGUGCGAAAAAAGGAUGUGCGACAUCUCUGGCGACUCUGCUGGGAAUUGGGACCCAGAACCAUUGGUUUAGUGUUAGAAAUUCGAGCUUAUGAUAAAUAGUUAUAUUUUGGCUUUAUUAUCUGAUAUUUUCAUAUGAUCUGUGCUUAAUGUGCAAAAUGAUGUUUGUUACUGCUUUGAUAUUAUUUGACUGUACAUAUAAACUGUGCCGACACCCUUCUCUCUCUACCUACGGGGAUAUGAUUACUGGUUGAGACUCCCUAUUCUGUUAGUGUCAUACCCUGAAAUAAAAAAGGCACAGAAAGUUUCUAAGCCGGUUGGCCUUUUGGUUCCUGGAAAGGAGCUCCCUCCUCGACUCGAGUUGUCCGCUCGGGUACAUCAGAUAAGUUACGAUGUCGGAUGGCCUUUUGGUUCUGGGUAAGUUGCCCCUCCUCGACUCGAGUUGUCCGCUAGGGUACACUGUCUAGAACACUGACCCAGGUUUUGAACAUAGAAUAAUGUGACUUCAUGCCGGAUCCCUAGUAGGAACGCUUAUUUGCAUCAUGUUGCAUUUGACUUAGGGGACUCAACACAGGGGUUGGGUCCGUCUAGGACUAGCAACCUAAAAUGAAAAAGGUCAUCCUGAUGCAUCCUAUUUAUUUUUCGUGCAUUUAUUUGUUUCGGACCCGCAUGUUGACCGAUUUUGAAUCUCGUGAAUGUCGAAAUUUGAAAAACAAAAGAGAAAAUGAGAGAAAUAGCAGCUAGGGAUUUAAUAUUUUGAUAAAAUCCGAUGCCCAAGUACUGUCGAAACUCUGUCGAAAUUUUGAAAAUGAAAAAAAUGUUUUUUUAUGUAAUUUGUUUUGUUAAAAGCAAAAGGAAAAUAGAAAAAAAUAGCAGUCUUUAUUUUUGGAAAAUUGUUUGAAAACUAGAAAAAAAAGGGUCAUUUUGAUUUGAUUUCAAAAAAUAGAAAAUGAAGAAAAGCUUAGAAAAAGUUUUGUUUUAAAAAUCUUAGUUAGUUUAUUGGCCCGAACUACGCCAGUUUGAUUCUCAUAGGGUGUGGGAUACUAGGCAACCCUUAUCGGGUCCAACCUUCCUUUCGCAAAAAUAGCCAAAAAUGUCAAAAAAAUUAAAAUUUGCGUAAUAAAUAAGUUAGGUGAUACCAUUUUGCAAAAAUAGCCGAAUGUUCCCAAACGGGACGCCGGAAGGCUGAUCUUGCAUAAACGGCCGACUUUGGUCAUUUUGAAAUUUUUUGGUCAAUUUACCCACAUAGCCUUAAAAUCUUUGUCCCGAGGUGAUGAAAGGUCGUGUUUGUAGAACCAGGUCUUUUAUUUUAAUUUGAAAAAAAAUACAGAGUUAGUGGGCAAGUGGUUGCCGUUUGGAACUCAGUUUGUUUUUAUUAUGAAAAUUGAAGUCCAAAAAAUAUUUUAUUGUUGUUUACCUUUUACUGGCACGAACUACGCACGGUCUGAUUCAUGCGGGGUCAUGAUAUGUAGGCAAUCUCCAUAAGAUUCGACUACAACUAAAGUAGAAAAAAAGAAAGAAAGAGAAAAAUACAUGAUAGAAAUGGUUAAAUUACCUAGGUACAUUGCAUUCCAACGUUUGCAAUAUGUGUUAAAACUCUAACACUGACAAGUUUGCUUUCCAGAAGUUUCGGAGCGUUAGCUUGUUAGAAUGUACUAGCAUCAUACCAUUAUUAGACAAGAUCAAAAGGGCCCAUACCAGAAAGUAUGACUGGGUCAGACAAUAGUGUUGAGUCUGAAAAGAUGACAAGUCAAAUGCUGGAGGAGGCCAUGGAAAAGAUGGAAAAGAUGAGGCUGGAAAUGAAUGAAAUGCAGUUGGCCCUGGCUAAAGCACAAAAGGGGCCUGAAGUCCCCGUUACUCCUACUCUCCAACCAGAACAUACACCAGAAUACCCUUCUCAUGGUCUCUCAACAAGCUUCCCAAGCCAUCAUUACUAUCAGGUAAGGGAUGCCUAUGACCCCCAAGCUCCACCACCCAAACAAAACCCUCCUCCACCAAAUAUCCCUGCCUUUGUGGCGCCUCCCCCUGCUCCAUUACACAGGUUAUCUUGUGCGCUGUUGUUUCAAGCCCACGAUGCACAAUAUUACCCCCCCUAAACUCACAUUCAAAGCACCCGAGCUGCACACCUAUAAUCCACACUUUAAGGUCCCGGCAGAGACUAAAAACCUGGCUAAAAGCCCAGGGCAAGACGAGGUAAUGCGGAAGUUUAAAAGCCUGGAGAAGUCCUUUAGGAACAUGCAUGGGUUAGGCAACCAGGUCAGCAUAGCCUACAAAGAUCUAUGACCUUUCCCUGACGUCCAAAUACCGGCAAGGUUCAAGAUGCACAAGUUCGACUUAUACGAAGGGCAUGGCGAUCCUAUUGCUCAUUUGCAGGGUUUUUGUAUAAAGAUGAGGGAGAAGGAGGCAAAGAUGAGCUACUGAUAGCUUACUUCGGCCAGAGUUUGAGUGGAUCUGCCCUGGAGUGGUAUACAAGGCAAGAUCCAAGCAGGUGGUACACCUGAGAUGAUCUGGCAUAGGCUUUCACCGGACACUUCCAAUACAACCUCGAGAUAGUCCCAGACUGUCUCAGUUUGCUAAAGCUUGAGAAGAAACCCAGAGAGCUUUAGAGAAUUUGGAUUCCGGUGGAGAGAACAUGCAGCUAGAGUUGAUCCUCCAAUGAGAGAGGUGGAGAUGGUAGAUUACUUUCUACAAACUCUAGAGCCAACUUACUUUGGUCACUUAGUGACGUCAGCUGGCGAAUCCUUUGAUGAAGUGGUGAAAAUGGGAGGCAUGAUAGAAUAGGAACUCAAGUCCAAUAAAAUCCUGAGUUACUCGGCAAUCUAAGCAACAACUCAGGCCAUUCAGAGCGGCACAGGAGGUGCGCUCGGAAAGAAAAAGAUAGAAAAGGUCGCAACAAUAGAGGCAUGUAACUGGUCCACAUCUAGAGGUCCUUCCCCUCAUCACCAAUCCAGAACCCAUCACCCAAAUUACCCGCACACUCCAAAUUACCCCCACAGCCUUACUACCCACCACAAGAACCACACUUCUCCGUCCAUCAAGCUUAGACAUAUACCCAGCGUCCUGCUUGCUCGCAAUGGCGCGCGCUAGCUCCCUGAAAUACAUAUCCACCUCCACAAAAUACAUAUCGACCACCAAGGGCCUAUAGAAACCCUACAGGGCCAGGCUCCCACGGGAGUCAGAGAACAUUCACUGAGUUGGGAGAAACCUAUAAUUCUUUGUUCCACAAAUUAAGGCAGUUAGGUUUGUUAAGUCCUGUGGAGCCCAAAUUUCCAAAUCCCUUUCCCAAAAAUAUGGACCAUUUGGUAACCUGUGAAUAUUGUUCGAGGGCUCCCAGACAUGAUACUAAGAAGUGUUGGAAGUUGAAACAUGUAGUGAAAAAUCUUAUUGAUACCAACAAGAUUGAGGUUUAGACACCGGAGGCACCCAAUAUCAACCAGAACCCAUUGUCAGCACACCACGAAGCCCACAUGAUCGAGCUAGUGAAUGAAGGAGGGAAUUUAAAGAAACCCUCACAAACAGAGAGGAUGGUCCAUGCCGGUUCAAAAGAAAAAUCGACCAGUGGAGAAGCGGUAGUAUAGCUGGAAAAGGUAGAUGACAAGCCACUUCUGGUGUUGGGAAAGGGUCCAGUGGGACAGAUGUAUAGUUUAUGGGGCAUAGGGCCAAUAUCGACAAUUUGACGGGUUACUCCUCUUCGCGCCUGGAGGGAGUCUUGGUAGUAGGCUCUGAUUUUUCUUUUUCUUUUUUGUUGGCUGGUUUAUUCCAGAGUUGUAAUGCAGUUGUUUUGUUUUAUAUUUGGCAAAAGUGUGAAACUCUGUUAUCCCGCAUUUUAAUCAAGUGCAACUUUUCUCUUCUUAUUUUGUUUUAAUUGUGUUUUCUUCGUUCCUCUUUCUGAACAGUUCUCUUUAUACUUGUUCUAAUGAUAUGACAUGCUCGAUGGAUCUUCAACCCAGUCUAAAAAAAUCAAUCCGAUUAUAAAUUAAUAAUACAAGAAGUAGAUUGAUGAUAAUGAGUGGGUCAAAACUCGAAUGGAGCGUUGAGGCAGCCAACAAGAACAUAAAGAAGAUAUUGAGGAAAAUGGUAUAAGGGUCCAGUCAAUGGCAUGAAAAGGUACCAUUUGCAUUGUUGGAUUAUCGUACUACUGUUCCUACUUGAGUACGUACAACUCCUUAUCUGUUGGUAUACGGAACUGAAAUAGGGAUACCAUCAGAGGUUGAAAUUCCGCCUCUCCAAAUUGUCGUUGAGGCUAGUAUUGAUGAUGAUGAAUGGGUCAAAGCUCGAUUGGAGCAGUUGAGCAUAAUUGAUGAAAAGAGAUUGGCAGCAGUAUGUCAUGGCCAAUUAUAUCAAAAGAGGAUGGCCAGAGCAUAUUAAGAACGUACGUCCCAGGAAAUUUGAAGUGAGGCAACAAGUAUUGAAACGAAUCCUCCCACAGCAGGCCGAAGUAAAGGGCAAGUUCACGCCGAACUGGCAAGGACCAUUCAUUGUGACCCGAGUAUCAUCCAAUAGCGCUUUAUAUUUGACAGUUAUCAAGGGAAGAUCUAUCGGUAUGGCUAUCAAUUCUGACGCAGUCAAGAGGUAUUUUGUGUGAUUUUUUUGAUUAUAAUUUUUUGUUUGUUUGCACUUGGAAUUAAUCGGAGAAUGAAAUUACGGAGGCAAUUUCUUCUACUAUCUAAAUACUUUAACAUUUGCUUCCCCUUUUUGAGCAUUAUUUAUUCUUUCAUACCCCUCUGUUGGAAUCAUUAAAUGAAAAAUGAUAAUGAAAAAAAAUUAAAAGAAAAAAAGUGAAAAAAAAGAAGAAAGAACAAAAAGGAAAGUCACAAGAAAAAUAAAGGAAUCAGUGAAAUGCUUUUGACCUGAUUCCUCAAAAAGGAUACAUAGGCUCCUCACAGCUCGGUCAUAACGUGACAAAGUGUCACAAAAAAUAAAAAUCCCCCAAGCAAGAAAACUGAGGCAGAAGUUAUGUUUUUAAAUUUUGAAAAGAGGUUUGAUUCUAAGAGUUGUAACGUUUUACCCAUCAAAGUUAGUUUGAAUGUUUAUCUCCUUUUCUUUAAAGCCCCAUAUAAAACCCAUAUUGGUGUCCAAAAAAGACCUACCAAUCAGUAUUCGAGAGGUGCCAAGGCAGACAAAUGAAAGCCGAGAAUAACACGCGGGUCCCUAACUGAAUGAGGAUCAUGAGCUGAAAAGAGUGGAUAGUCAAAAUAAUUCCCAUCAGAGAGAAUCUUAUCGGUAACACUCCAAUCCCCAGCUGAGAAAAUAAAAUGAGAGAGUCUUAUUGAUGAAAACCUUCACAAGAACCAUAAGGCGACGUAAGCUGAGAGAAGCAAAAUGAGAGAGUCUUAUUAGUGAAAACCCUUCAAAGGUCACUAUGAGGCGGCGAGAUAAGAUUGACGGAAUGGAUCCGCAUUUUGCGAAGAGUUGGGCACCUGUUUAUCCCCACCAAGUGAAGACAUCAGAAAGAUUGAUUGAUAUAAAUAGACUGGGUUGAUUAAUCCGGAAUGCACGACAUGAUCGUUGGGAUUGGUUAUGCCACCCAGAUAAGUUCCUUUCUUUUCUUUUCCCCGGCAUUUGUUGAGAAAGAUUUUCUCUUUUUCUAUCUUUUCAUUUCUUUGUUUAAAAGACUUUAUCCAGAAAUUUAUAUAUUGAGAAAGAUCUUUCAGAGCUUACCACCAGUUGCCAAAAUGGUACAAAGAAAAAUAUGAAGAGGGCAGGCCGGAGAUAAGUAAAAAAGACGAAAAGACGCUUGUUGCAAGGCCGAAUAAUAAAUUGGUCUAGAAUGUCAAGGAAAGAAUAGAGAAAAGUAGGGAAAACAGCAUGUUUGGAAAAUUGUGGGCCAAAUUCAAGAGGGUCCCCAACAAAUCAUCGAGAUGUAGGAGCAUCCCCAACAGAUUUUCGACCAAGUUCCAAGAGGGUCGGUCAACACAGAGUGGGGAAGGAAGAAAAGGAAAAUUCAUCCCGGCAAAAUAAUCCCAGCAAGCUUUGAUAGCAUAAUGAAACACAAGAGCGGGGAAGGGAGAAAGGGAAAAACCAUCCCCAGCAGGAGCGGCACGACCACUCACCAUGUUUUAAAACUAACAAAUUUUCUUUGUUUUGAAGCAGGAAAAGGAAAUCUUAUUAAUGUAGCAGGAGUGCCAUGUUUUAAAACUAACAAAUUUUCUUUGAUUUGAAGCAGGAAAAGGAAGUAUUAUUAAUUGCAAAAGCAUGCUGCAAGGAAGAGCACCAAAACCGGGGCAGAAAAUUUUCUUCCAUUGUCGAAAAUUUUCUCGGACGAACGAGGAAAUCAAUGCAAGUUUUAAUAGAUAGGAAGACAUCACAAUUUUAAGAAAAACAGUCAGAGGUAAGAUUAUUUCAAUUUUUGAAGUCGGGAGCCUGCCCAUAUUAUAAUGGUAGUAAACAUUUCACUCUUUAAAUUUAAAGUUUUGAAUAUUGGUUCAUCCGCCUUCGAAUAGGAUAUUAUAGGUUCAUCCGCCUUCGAAUAGGAUAUUAUAGGUUCAUCCGCCUUUGAAUAGGAUAUAAUAGGCUCAUCUGCCUUCGAAUAGGAUAUUAUAGGUUGUCCGCCUUAGAAUAGGAUAUUAUAGGUUGUCCACCUUCGAAUAGGAUAUUAUAGGCUGUCCACCCUCGAAUAUGAUAUUAUAGGCUCAUCCACCUUCGAAUAGGAUAUUAUAGGUAGUCCACCUUCGAAAAAGAUACUAUAGGUUGUCCACCUUCAAAGAGGAUAUUAUAGGCUCAUCCGCCUUCAAAUAGGAUAUUAUAGGUUGUCCGCCUUUGAAUAGGAUAUUAUAGGUUUGUCCACCUUCGAAUAGGAUAUUAUAGGUUAUCCACCUUCGAAUAGGAUAUUAUAGGUUCUCCACCUUCAAAUAGGAUAUCAUAGGUUCAUCCACCUUUGAAAAGGAUAUUAUAGAUUCGUCCACCUUCGAAUAGGAUAUUAUAGAUUUAUCCGCCUUCGAAUAGGAUAUUAUAGCUUCAUCCACCUUCGAAUAGGAUAUUAUAGGUUUGUCCGCCUUCGAAUAGGAUAUUAUAGGUUCAUCCACCUUCGAAUAGGAUAUUAUAGGUUUGUCCGCCUUCAAUAGGAUAUUAUAGGUUCAUCCGAAUUCGAAUAGGAUAUUAUAGGUUGUCCACCUUCGAAUAGGAUAUUAUAGGCUCAUCUGCCUUCGAAUAGGAUAUUUAUAGGUUGUCCACCUUCGAAUAGGAUAUUAUAGGUUGUCCACCUUUGAAUAGGAUAUUAUAGGUUGAUAUGCCUUCGAAUAGGAUAUUAUAGGUUCAUCCGCCUUCGAAUAGGAUAUUAUAGGUUUUCUACCUUCGAAUAGGAUAUUAUAGGUUCAUCCGCCUUCGAAUAUGAUAAUUAUAGGUUCAUCCGCCUUCAAAUAGGAUACUAUAGGUUGUCCACCUUUGAAUAGGAUAUUAUAGGUUCAUCUGCCUUCGAAUAGGAUAAGUAUAGGUUCCUCCACCUUCGAAUAGGAUAUUAUAGGUUCAUCCGCCUUUGAAUAGGAUAUGAUAGGUUCAUCUGCCUUCGAAUAGGAUAUUAUAGGUUGUCCACCUUCGAAUAGGAUAUUAUAGGUUCAUCCACUUUCGAAUAGGAUAUUAUAGGUUCAGCCGCCUUCGAAUAGGAUAUUAUAGGUUCAUCCACCUUCGAAUAGAAUAUUAUAGGUUGUCCACCUUCGAAUAGGAUAUUAUAGGUCCAUCCGCCUUUGAAUAGGAUAUGAUAGGUUCAUCCACCUUCGAAUAGGAUAUUAUAGGUUUGUCCACCUUCGAAUAGGAUAUUAUAGGUUGUCCACCUUCAAAUAGGAUAUUAUAGGUUCGUCCACCUUCGAAUAGGAUAGUAUAGGUUUGCCCACCUUCGAAUUGGAUAUUAUAGGUUUGCCCACCUUCGAAUAGGAUAUUAUAGGCUGUACACCUUCGAAUAGGAUAUUUAUAGGUUUGUCCAACUUCGAAUAGGAUAUUUAUAGGUUCGUCCACAUUCGAAUAGGUUAUUAUAGGUUCAUCCACCUUCGAAUAGGAUACCACCUUUGAAUAGGAUAUUAUAGGUUCAUCCACCUUCGAAUAGGAUAAUUUUGGGUUCAUCUGCCCUCAAAUAGGAUAUUGAAUCUAAUCCUUCCUCAAAAGGACAUUUAAUUUGUUUCGACCCGAGUGGUCCUGCUUGUAUAAACAUUGCCAAAAUAUAUAUUUCAUAAAUCAUUGCCAAAUGCAUUUUAUUUUUAAAGUNNNNNNNNNNNNNNNNNNNNNNNNNNNNNNNNNNNNNNNNNNNNNNCUAGGAACUUGAAAUAUCACAUUGCCAAAAUUGAUAUUUCAUAAAUCAUAGCCAAAUGCAUUUUAUUUUUUAAGUUGUUGAUGAAGUCAGGAUCCUGCCUGUAGAAUGGAGAAAUAUUUUCAAAGUCAAAUUAGAAGACGAUGAUGCAGAGGGUCACAACAAAAUACCCCAGCAUAACAAGUUUGAUAAAGGAAGCAGUAUCCCCAGUAGACAGAACAAAAUGAUGAAAUUUGUGUUCCGAAAAGGAAAAAGGCCAAUGUCAUCCCCAUCAAUUUAGGAAGGAAGAAGCAUUGGAGGAAACACAAGCUGACAAAAAAGUAAAGCAACAAGAACAAGUUGAAGAUAGUUAAGAUCUUGUAAUCUAUAGUGUAGCCUAGCUUCUUGUUUUUUUUUGACACGGUGUAAUAAGGAGAUCGAUAAAGCAGUAGUAACAACAUAUGGCAACAGUAGCAGCAGAAUUGCAAUCCCUGGUAGUCCCAGCUACCAAAACUUCUGAACUACAUUAACCUAAUUCCCUUUUAGCCAGGGAUAUGUAGGAAACAUUUGAAGCAAAGGUUCGGUUAAAUAUUUUUAAAAAAAAUGCUUUACACGGAGUAUUCCAACAGGCAAAAAUCGCUCGUAUCCGCUCACUUUAUCUUUGCACGAAAACUCUUCGUGUUUACAAGCAAAGAGGGGCAGGUGUGGGCACGUGAUUUUGCACUAUAUGAGAUACUCCCAAAAAAUUUCAUAAUAUAAUAAUUUUGUUUGUUUGCAAUUCUUGUGAAUUUUCUGUAAUUUUUCUUGUAUUAUUUACAAUUGUCUGUGUGUUUAUUUGUUAAAAUUAUAAAAAAUAUAAAAAUAUGUCGCAUUUGAAUUUAGAACUUAAGGUUGCAAUUAGAAGUAAUUAAGUUUGUAUUACAAGAAUAAAAAUUACAAAAAAUAGGCAUUUUUUGGAUUUUUUCUGCAUUCAAUGUCAAAAUUGUGCAAUUUUAUUUUAAAUGGUGUUUAAUUGUGUAUGAUACUUGUUGCUAGGAAUUGAUUAAUAUUUUUAUUAGUUAAUUUAGUUUAUAACUUAAUUUAGAAUUUUAGUUUUGUUAAUUAAAUAGUAAUAGAAAAGAGAACAAAAAAUAGAGGAACAAAUUCGGAAUUGGGCCUCUUCUUCAAUUUUAAAUCACAGGCCCAAACAAAAUAAACCCUUACCCAACCCAAAAACCCACCGAGCCGCUCCGGCACUAAACCAAAAUGAUUCCCUCUUUUUCAAUUAACUUUCAUUUCCUUACACUUUAAAAAUAACAAAAUAACCUAAUCCUCUAAAAAUCCCUUCAGCCCAGCUGCCACACCCAAACCCCUGCCCCUCUCUCGUCUUCUUCGAACACCCCCGGUGCCCCCCCCNNNNNNNNNNNNNNNNNNNNNNNNNNNNNNNNNNNNNNNNNNNNNNNNNNNNNNNNNNNNNNNNNNNNNNNNNNNNNNNNNNNNNGCCCCCCCCCCCCCCCUCCUUCUCUUCUUCAGUCGAGCAACCAACCCAUAAACCCCAUCUCACUCAUCGCUGACCACCAUUUUCCUUCUUCUUCAAUAAGAAACCACCAUAACAACCAUUAAACCUCCACCAGUCCGCUACCCCCUUCCGCCAUGACCAUCCUUCCUGCCUCAAGCUUGAACACGUCGACCAGUUGACCACUCCCCUCCAGUCGCCCUUGAACCAGCAUCCAGACGACCCCGAAACCUCUAAAAAUUACCCCGUCGUGCUUCAUCUUCAUCACUCCCUUCCGCCGGCGCUCUGUCAUCAACUUCUUCAUGCUUUCCUCCAUCAUUUUUCUGCUGGUCAAAUUGAAACUGAUUUUCAAGGUAAAGAUCAACUUGAUUCCUCUUCCGAGCUUUCAUCGGACGCAGCCGGUCAACGAGCUCCGAGUCCAAUACCAUUUCCUCCGGUUUGGGUAAUGUCAGUUUUGAAUGUUAGAAAUAUAAGAGAGAGGAUACUCCAAAUAUUAUAAAUUCUAGUUUGGAUCCUUAGCUUAUAAGAGCUAUUCAGUUUUCUGUUGAUUUCUGGAUCAAUCUCUGGACUCCAAAGUAAUUUAACUCUCACAUGGCUUCCGAGGGGUGUAAUCUGCCGUUCGAACACAGUCCACGUUUAAUUGGUAGGUCUCCAUCUUAUUUUUGUGUUAGUUUUGUUCGAUAAGUUCAUCUUCUUCUCUUUCUCUUGUUCGAUUUAGAAUUGAGUUUUGGUUCUACUCUUGAUUUUAGUUGCGGGCUAUAUCGAAUUUGCCCUGUAUUUUGUGUCAAUGAAUUUUGUUACAUACAUUUGUCGUUUGGGAUUAAUUCAUCCCGUGCGUAGUUAAUCACUGUUUUGUUUAAGUGAAUCAUUCGUCCUUGUUUCAACCUUGUUCAAUUAUGUUUAGUCAUUUCAAUAAUUAAUAGCGUAGUUAAUUGUUUUGUUUGAACUAUCACUGAAAUUUCUCGAUUUGAAGCAUAAUGAUGUCCUGUUGAGUUUGAUAUUUAGCAUUAUUGUGGUUUUUGGUUCAGAUUCAACUAAAUUGUUUAAUCAGGAAUCAGUGUAGUUGAUUGUUAGGUGAAUUAUUUAUAGCUUUAGUAAUUUUGAGACUAAUUAGGAAUUAGUUUUGUUACAUGCUGAAGGGAUCGGGUAGAAUUAUAAAUUUUAGUUAUUAUAAAUUUUAGUUAUUUCAGGGGUAUCUUUGGAAUUGAAAAUAUAAAGAUUUGUUUAAAAAUAUAGUGGGGAACAUAAUUAUGUUAAAUAAAAAGAGGGGACAAGACAUUUGAGGAGCAUAAUGAUUAAAGUAAAAAGAGAGUGGAUUGUGGGGUCCACGUUUGACUGCUUUUGUUAAUUGAAAAUCAGAAAUAGUAGAAAGGGGGCUGGAAAUUAAAGUAAGAGGUAAUAAUAAAAGGGUAGUAAUAAUAAUUAAAGGGGGAGGUAAAUAGGGUCUUGUUUCAAAUAUAAUAGAAGUCAUUUGUCACUUAGAAGGGGGAGAAAAUUGAGAGAGAGAAAAUACUUUCAGAACUAGAGGGAAGAUAAACAACUGCUAUUGUUUAUUGAAGCUUCAAGCUUCUUUUCUUGAGUGUUAAAAAUCAGAAGGGACUAUUUUGGCAACUGGUUAUUUCUCUGUUGGUCUGUACUUGUUUUCUAAUACAAGUGGCAUUCAAUUAGUGUUGCUUGGGUUUUCUGUUGGUUUUCGUUUGGUUUGGAAAUAUAUUGGUCUGUACUUAUUUUCUAAUACUACUGGCAGUCAAGUAGUGUUGCUUGGGUUUACUGUUGGUUUUCGGUUGGUUUUCAAAUUCCUGGUUUUUCUGCUUGGUUGUAAUCUCCUGGGUUUUGCUGAUAUUCCCAUUGUUACUUGGUUACUCCUGUGUUGCUGAACACCUGUUGCUGUGUGUGUGGUGCUAUUGAUUCCUACUGAUCUUCAUCUUCUUUGUAUUCCAAUACCAGGUACACCACUUUGAAUCACUUUGAUGUACGCCUUGAAGAUGAAAUAAAAUGGGAGAAAUUUAUGUACUUAGUUAUAGUACAUUUGUAUUUUAGUUAUAUAUAUUUUCUCGCUAUGCAUUAGUUAAUCUUUGAAUCUUGUUAGUAAUACAGAUCCGCAAAUAUUAGGCAAAUAUAAUAUGCCGGUAAUUUCGUAGAAUGAACAUGCUUGAUGUUUAAUGUGUGAUUCAACGUAGCAAGGCUAAGAAUAUUAAUCCAUUAGGUGCGAGUAUGAGCAAGAUGAGUUAAUGUUUAAGUUUAAUAAACUUUUUUUAUAAGCUAUAGUAAUUAUGGUUAAAUCUAAUUUCAAAUAGUUGUGAAUAAUUAAUUCAAAUAGUUUUUAUAUAACAAUUCGAGUUUUUAAUCUAGCUAUAAUUGAUUUCUUUUGAAUAUUAG
rnacentral:lncRNA from 1 species